UGGGGGAUAUUGCACAAUGGGGGAAACCCUGAUGCAGCAAUGCCGCGUGAGGGAAGAAGGUCUUCGGAUUGUAAACCUAAGUAGCCAGGGACGAUAAUGACGGUACCUGGAGAGUAAGCUCCGGCUAACUACGCGCCAGCAGCCGCGGUAAUACGUAGGGAGCGAGCGUUGUCCGGAUUUACUGGGUGUAAAGGGUGCGUAGGCGGGAUGGCAAGUCAGAUGUGGAAUACCGGGGCUUAACCCCGGGGCUGCAUUUGAAACUGUCGUUCUUGAGUGAAGUAGAGGCAGGCGGAAUUCCUAGUGUAGCGGUGAAAUGCGUAGAUAUUAGGAGGAACACCAGUGGCGAAGGCGGCCUGCUGGGCUUUAACUGACGCUGAGGCACGAAAGCAUGGGGA
rnacentral:rRNA from 1 species